rnacentral:tmRNA from 1 species
UAACUUUAAAUUAGGGCAGAAUCACCCUAUAUUGAAAGGGCUGGGUAACCAGCUAUGGCGAUAAACGGCCAGUGCAAUAAGCGAUGCGGACCCGGGGGCGGUACCCGGCGCCUCCACCAAUUUUAAAUCC